AUUGAACGCUGGCGGCAUGCCUUACACAUGCAAGUCGAACGGCAGCACGGGUGCUUGCACCUGGUGGCGAGUGGCGAACGGGUGAGUAAUGCGUCGGAACGUACCAAGUAGUGGGGGAUAACGCAGCGAAAGUUGUGUUAAUACCGCAUAUUCUGUGAGCAGGAAAGCGGGGGAUCUUCGGACCUCGCGCUAUUCGAGCGGCCGACGUCUGAUUAGCUAGUUGGUGGGGGAAAGGCCUACCAAGGCGACGAUCAGUAGCGGGUCUGAGAGGAUGAUCCGCCACACUGGGACUGAGACACGGCCCAGACUCCUACGGGAGGCAGCAGUGGGGAAUUUUGGACAAUGGGCGAAAGCCUGAUCCAGCCAUGCCGCGUGUCUGAAGAAGGCCUUCGGGUUGUAAAGGACUUUUGUCAGGGAGGAAAUCCUGCUGGUUAAUACCUGGCGGGGAUGACAGUACCUGAAGAAUAAGCACCGGCUAACUACGUGCCAGCCGCCGCAGUAAAAC
rnacentral:rRNA from 1 species